AUUGAACGCUGGCGGCAGGCCUAACACAUGCAAGUCGAGCGGCAGCACGGGUACUUGUACCUGGUGGCGAGCGGCGGACGGGCGAGUAAUGCCUAGGAAUCUGCCUGGUAGUGGGGGAUAACGUCCGGAAACGGGCGCUAAUACCGCAUACGUCCUACGGGAGAAAGUGGGGGAUCUUCGGACCUCACGCUAUUAGAUGAGCCUAGGUCGGAUUAGCUAGUUGGUGAGGUAAUGGCUCACCAAGGCGACGAUCCGUAACUGGUCUGAGAGGAUGAUCAGUCACACUGGAACUGAGACACGGUCCAGACUUCGCCGGGGUGCAGCGGUGGGGAAUAUUGGAUAGUGGGCGAAAGCCUGAUCCAGCCAUGCCGCGUGUGGGAAGAAGGUCUUCGGAUUGUAAAGCACUUUAAGUUGGGAGGAAGGGCAGUUACCUAAUACGUGAUUGUUUUGACGUUACCGACAGAAUAAGAACCGGCUAACUCUGUGCCAGCAGCCGCCGUAA
rnacentral:rRNA from 1 species